GACGAACGCUGGCGGCGUGCUUAACACAUGCAAGUCGAACGGAAAGGCCCUGCUUUUGUUGGGUGCUCGAGUGGCGAACGGGUGAGUAACACGUGUGUAACCUGCCCUUGACUUUGGGAUAACUUCAGGAAACUGGGGCUAAUACCGGAUAGGAUCUCCUGCUGCAUGGUGUUGGUUGGAAAGUUUCGGCGGUUGGGGAUGGACUCGCGGCUUAUCAGCUUGUUGGUGGGGUAGUGGCUUACCAAGGCUUUGACGGGUAGCCGGCCUGAGAGGGUGACCGGCCACAUUGGGACUGAGAUACGGCCCAGAAUCCUACGGGAGGCAGCAGUCGGGAAUAUUGCACAAUGGGGGGAAGCCUGAUGCAGCAACGCCGCGUGCGGGAUGCCGGCCUUCGGGUUGUAAACCGAUUUCGCCUGUGACGAAGCGUGAGUGACGGUAAUGGGUAAAGAAGCAACGGCUAACUACGUG
rnacentral:rRNA from 1 species